rnacentral:rRNA from 1 species
CCUACGGGUGGCAGCAGUGAGGAAUAUUGGUCAAUGGGCGCGAGCCUGAACCAGCCAAGUAGCGUGAAGGAUGACUGCCCUACGGGUUGUAAACUUCUUUUAUAAAGGAAUAAAGUGAUGCACGUGUGCCUUUUUGUAUGUACUUUAUGAUUAAGGCUCGGCUAACUCCGUGCCAGCAGCCGCGGUAAUACGGAGGGUCCGAGCGUUAUCCGGAUUUAUUGGGUUUAAAGGGAGCGUAGAUGGGUUGUUAAGUCAGGUGUGAAAGUUUGCGGCUCAACCGUAAAAUUGCAAUUGAUACUGGCAGUCUGGAGUACAGUUGAGGUAGGCGGAAUUCGUGGUGUAGCGGUGAAAUGCUUAGAUAUCACGAAGAACUCCGAUGGCGAAGGCAGCUUACUAAACUGCCACUGACAUUGAUGCUCGAAAGUGUGGGUAGCAAACAGGAUUAGAUACCCUUGUAGUC